rnacentral:rRNA from 1 species
UAGGGAAUCUUCCGCAAUGGGCGAAAGCCUGACGGAGCAACGCCGCGUGAGUGAUGAAGGUCUUCGGAUCGUAAAACUCUGUUAUUAGGGAAGCACAAAUGUGUAAGUAACUAUGCACGUCUUGACGGUACCUAAUCAGAAAGCCACGGCUAACUACGUGCCAGCAGCCGCGGUAAUACGUAGGUGGCAAGCGUUAUCCGGAAUUAUUGGGCGUAAAGCGCGCGUAGGCGGUUUUUUAAGUCUGAUGUGAAAGCCCACGGCUCAACCGUGGAGGGUCAUUGGAAACUGGAAAACUUGAGUGUAGAAGAGGAAAGUGGAAUUCCAUGUGUAGCGGUGAAAUGCGCAGAGAUAUGGAGGAACACCAGUGGCGAAGGCGACUUUCUGGUCUGUAACUGACGCUGAUGUGCGAAAGCGUGGGGAUCAAACAGG